rnacentral:rRNA from 1 species
UUUUGUGGCCACACCACCCUGAACACGCCAAUCUCAUUUGAUCUCAGAAGCUAAUCUGGGUCGGGCCUCGUUAGAACUUGAAUGAGAGAUAGAGGUGGAUGAGAAUUGAGAUACGCAAAGC